AAGCGUUUGCAACCAGACUUGCACGUUGCCGAUCAUCCGGUGUUCUCACCGGUGCACUCGGUUUCGUUCAGGCCAGCAUCGGUUUGGGUGGUUGGAUAAAGGCCUUGGGAAUGUAGCUUCUUUCGGGGAGUGUUAUAGCCCUCGGUGCAAUGCAGCCUACCUGGACCGAGGACCGCGCUUCGGCUAGGAUGCUGGCGUAAUGGUUGUAAAUGA
rnacentral:rRNA from 1 species